UCCACAGAAUCUGGACAUGGGCUCUACCCACCGGUUCUCUGACCCCAGGGGGUGAAACGGAGGCUGUGGCAGGGAGGUAGGGAGGGAGCACAGACCUUUGAACAGGGUGGAGCCUCCCGAGAGCACGAUGUUGGAGAAGAGUGUCCGCCGGAGGUCCAUGUCUGACUUCUGGAUGGCAAACACCAGCACCUCGUGGAUGCCCUCACUCUCCUCCCCGAUCAGAUCCGGUCGGAACAGCAGCUCCGGUGCCCGGAAGCGGGAAGGGCCGAUCUUAGAAGGCCAAGGGACAGCAGGCCUCGCUGCUUUUCAUCCUCAAGUACUCCUGAUGGGCCUCCCGGUUUCCCUUCUCUACAGUCCAAAAUGCCUUUCGGGACAGAGUCAAUCAACAACAUCUAAAGAGAACCUACAGUGUGAGACCUCAGUACCAAAUGCUUGGCUCCAAAACCAAGCGAGGGGCCCUCACCUCUUCUGAAAAGGUCUGCAGCUGGUCCUUGGAGUAGACGUACUGCCAGAUGCGCUCCAUGUCGUUCCAGUCCUUCACGAUGCCAUGCUCCAUGGGCGCUCCGGCCAUGACGCGGACGUGCUUCGGUCUGCCCACACUGCAGAAGAUCGGAGACAUUGGCGGCCCGUUACACAUUAGAUGAUGCCACUUCCCAUGCGGGAGUUCCACUGUUGGAAAAAUUCAGUUCCUCUAAAAAGAAGGUCUGCCCGGGAACGGGUGCCAUCACGGCAGGCCCAAGGCUAACCCACACCCAAACUCCGUGUUACUUACUAGUUUGGGAAGCAGUAUUUGGGAAUCUGAUCACCUGCAAAACCAGCUUUAAUUACGCCUGAGCCCUGUGGGGAGAACAGAGGUUCUACAUCAUACGCCACGUCCUUUUCAUGCUGGUUUCCUGAACAUAAGUUUAGAUCUGCAGCAGCGGCACCAACUCAUACUGCACCAGGAAUUUCAGAAUACAAGUGAUUGCUCUCUUUGACGCCCAGGAAUAAGAAUGCAGUGUCACUAGUUAGCCACCAUCCCUGGCCUCGAGGAAAAACACGGAAACAGGAGGAAAUAAAGUGACAAAAAGACAGUAAGCAAACAGAAACAGGAGGAAAUAAAGUUACAACUGAUAAAAAGUAAGCAAAAAAUGAAUAUAUAGAUUUUUUAAAAAAAUCAAUAAACACACGCAUGCCAAGGUUAA